GACAGAGGGUGCAAGCGGUAAUCGGAAUUACUGGGCGUAAAGGGCGCGUAGGUGGAAGUACAAGCCAGUUGUGAAAGGCCUGGGCUUAACCGAGGUAAGUCAACUGGGACUGUGCAUCUAGAGUGUGGGAGAGGAAAGAAGAAUUUCCGGUGUAGCGGUGAAAUGCGUAGAGAUCGGAAGGAAUACCAGAGGCGAAAGCGUCUUUCUGGCCCAACACUGACACUGAGGCGCGAAAGCGUGGGUAGCGAACAGG
rnacentral:rRNA from 1 species